rnacentral:rRNA from 1 species
AUUGAACGCGGGCGGCAUGCCUUACACAUGCAAGUCGAACGGUAACGGGCCUUCGGGUGCCGACGAGUGGCGAACGGGUGAGUAAUGCAUCGGAACGUACCUUUCAGUGGGGAUAACGUAGCGAAAGUUACGCUAAUACCGCAUAUUCUGUGAGCAGGAAAGCAGGGGAUCGCAAGACCUUGCGCUGAUUGAGCGGCCGAUGUCAGAUUAGCUAGUUGGUGAGGUAAAGGCUCACCAAGGCGACGAUCUGUAGCGGGUCUGAGAGGAUGAUCCGCCACACUGGAACUGAGACACGGUCCAGACUCCUACGGGAGGCAGCAGUGGGGAAUUUUGGACAAUGGGGGCGAACCCUGAUCCAGCCAUGCCGCGUGAGUGAAGAAGGCC